rnacentral:rRNA from 1 species
CAGUAGUCACGUAGUUGAUCCUGGCUCAGAACGAACGCUGGCGGCAUGCCUAACACAUGCAAGUCGAACGAGACCUUCGGGUCUAGUGGCGCACGGGUGCGUAACGCGUGGGAACCUGCCUUUAGGUUCGGAAUAACUCAGAGAAAUUUGAGCUAAUACCGGAUAAUGUCUUCGGACCAAAGAUUUAUCGCCUUUAGAUGGGCCCGCGUUGGAUUAGCUAGUUGGUGGGGUAAAGGCCUACCAAGGCGACGAUCCAUAGCUGGUCUGAGAGGAUGAUCAGCCACACUGGGACUGAGACACGGCCCAGACUCCUACGGGAGGCAGCAGUGGGGAAUAUUGGACAAUGGGCGAAAGCCUGAUCCAGCAAUGCCGCGUGAGUGAUGAAGGCCUUAGGGUUGUAAAGCUCUUUACCCGAGAUGAUAAUGACAGUAUCGGGAGAAUAAGCUCCGGCUAACUCCGUG